GACGAACGCUGGCGGCGUGCUUAACACAUGCAAGUCGAACGGAAAGGCCCUGCUUUUGUGGGGUGCUCGAGUGGCGAACGGGUGAGUAACACGUGAGUAACCUGCCCUUGACUUUGGGAUAACUUCAGGAAACUGGGGCUAAUACCGGAUAGGAGCUCCUGCUGCAUGGUGGGGGUUGGAAAGUUUCGGCGGUUGGGGAUGGACUCGCGGCCUAUCAGCUUGUUGGUGGGGUAGUGGCUUACCAAGGCUUUGACGGGUAGCCGGCCUGAGAGGGUGACCGGCCACAUUGGGACUGGGAAACGACCCAGACUCCUACGGGAGGCAGCAGUGGGGAAUAUUGCACAAUGGGCGGAAGCCUGAUGCAGCAACGCCGCGUGCGGGAGGACGGCCUUCGGGUUGUAAACCGCUUUCGCCUGUGACGAAGCGUGAGUGACGGUAAUGGGUAAAGAAGCACCGGCUAACUACGUG
rnacentral:rRNA from 1 species